CAAAUCCAGAGCCCUUUUUCGUUUUCGUUUUCUCUCUCCCUCAAACAUCUGUAUUUGGAUCUGGAUUGGAUGUGCUAUCUCUUCACAAUUCACCACAAGUUAUGCCGGAGGGAGAUUUGAUUUGCUGAAAGAUCAAGACCACGACCAGUUACGCCCCUGAUGAUGAAGAAGACGAAGAUGACGUUGAUGGUGAGUUAUGUAUCAGAGAUUCAGAGCAAGCCCUAACCCUAGAUUUCAAUAAUGUCAUCCAAGCAAGGUUCUGCACAAUUGUUCUUCUCCAUGGUUUUUGUUUACAUGAAUUUUGAAAUUUUACUAAAGUUAGUAUGUUAUGUCUCUGUUAUAAUUUGAUUUGUCAAAAAAAAAAAAAAAAAAAAAAAUCUUGCUGCAAAGGUGGAAAAGUGAAGCCACUAAACCAACCAAAGGCUGAAAAGAAAGAAUACAAUGAGAUCUGUGGCGCGAUGGUGGAGCUUUUCA